rnacentral:tRNA from 1 species
AGUGGGUUGGCUCAGUGGUUAGAGCGUUGGUCUCGUAACCGAAAGGUUGCGGGAUCGAAUCCCGCUAGAGGCUG